rnacentral:lncRNA from 9 species
GCCCAGACGCCAGUUGGGGGAGACGCGUCUCUGAGGCUCAGAGUCACCGAGGCCUCAGCUGCCCUCUGCGACGCCGCAGGGGGCUUCGGAGAUGGUCUGGUGCCCCUGGUCUGGGAAAAGAAGACCUGCAGACACUGCCCGCUGGAAAGAGCCGCUGCUGGGAGUGGCCGAUGUGAUUUUGGAGUCUCCUUUAAGGUCCCGUUCCUCAAAGGUGGUCCAGAAAAUCGCACCACUUCCCAGCUUCCUGGAAAAACGGCUUUUGAAGGAUGUGCAGAAUGUGAAUGUGCCAAGCCUCUGAAGGCAGCAAUGUUUGGCUCCUUGCCUAAGACGAGAGGAAGAUGAGGAAUCAGCUAAUCCUGUAUUAAUGGGUGUUCUGGGACAGCUUUUACAGGUGCCCUGGAAGGGCUGAUGCAGGUUAUGUACCAAACAGAGAUGUGCAGAAAACUAAAAGAGGACGUGCU